UACGGUGGGGGCAAGCGUUGUUCGGAAUUACUGGGCGUAAAGGGCUCGUAGGUGGCCAACUAAGUCAGACGUGAAAUCCCUCGGCUUAACCGGGGAACUGCGUCUGAUACUGGAUGGCUUGAGAUUGGGAGAGGGAUGCGGAAUUCCAGGUGUAGCGGUGAAAUGCGUAGAGAUGUGGAGGAACACCGAUGGCGAAGGCAGCCUCCUGGGCCAGCACUGACGCUCAUGCACGAAAGCGUGGGGAGCAAACAGG
rnacentral:rRNA from 1 species